rnacentral:rRNA from 1 species
CAAGUAUUAAAGGUCUCGCCUGCCCAGUGACUCUUUUAAACGGCCGCGGUAUCCUAACCGUGCAAAGGUAGCAUAAUCACUUGUCUCUUAAAUAGAGACUAGAAUGAAUGGCUAAAUGAGGACUAAUCUGUCUCUUACGGACCAACCAAUGAAAUUAAUCUUUCAGUACAAAAGCUGAAAUAAAAACAUAAGACGAGAAGACCCUGUGGAGCUUCAAACCAAAAACACCCUGCAUGCUCCUCAGGUUUUUAGUUGGGGCGACUUCGGAGCACAAUAAAACCUCCAAAAUCUUUAUCUUCAAGAUUAACAAACCAAAAACUUUAUUAGACCCAGCAAUGUAUAACAUUGUCUGACCACUGAACCAAGUUACCCCAGGGAUAACAGCGCCAUCCCCUCCUAGAGUCCAUAUCAACAAGGGGGUUUACGACCUCGAUGUUGGAUCAGGACACCCCAAUGGUGCAGCCGCCAUUAAAGGUUCGUUUGUUCAACGAUUAAUUAGUCC